UUUUUUGUACGACUUUGUAAAGAUUUUUCGAGCUCGUUAUCACGUAUCACCUGUGUGAUAUUACCUACUUGCCUUAAACGUGCAAAACAAUUACGUGCGGUACACAUGCCUCGUUUUCGGUAUUACUUCAGUAAAAGAUACAUACAUUAAGAUGUAAAAUAGACCAUACUAAUUAUGUCGACCGCUGUAUUGUUAGCCUACAAAAACAGCACAGGAUUCUUAGCAAAUUUUGUCACUUAGUUCUCCUAAAAAGAAAUGGAAGAUAAUCAGAGGCCUCCUUCAACAACAAUGCACAAAUAUGUCAAAGUUUCUCAAGUUCACUUGGAACAAAAAACUAAUCCUUAUGUUCAAAUAAAUGACGGGUACAAGUAAUGCGUAUUCAAAAGCACGGCUUCACCUAAUAGGAAUAUUACUUGCUCACAAUAUGGUUCUACCAACCGAUGAUAUAGCUUUACAUCCUAUAGCUCGGAAAAACUCGGAUCUUGAAGAAUUAAAUCUCCAACUGGCCUUGCGAUUCUUCAUUACAUCAUAUUGAAAUCCAGAAGCAAGAGAAAAGUUCUUGUACA